UGAAAGUGAGGUCACUCAGUCGUGUCUGACUCCCAGCGACCCCAUGGACUGCAGCCUACCAGGCUCCUCCAUCCAUGGGAUUUUCCAGGCAAGAGUACUGGAGUGGGGUGCCAUUGCCUUUUCUGAGGCGGCCUCUAGUAACUUUAAAAAGGCAACAGAAUGGACGUUCCCCUCAGAACCUCCAGACUCAAUGGGCCCCGCCAGCACCUGGAUCUCAGCUCAGCCAAGCCGAAUUUUAAUUUCUGACUUCCAGAGCUCUAAGUUUCACUUGCACACAGGGUGCUGCGGCCGAGGCCUCAGCCCAGAGUUCUUCCUCCCAAAACGGCUGCACCCAACAGUUCAGCUCUGCAGACCUCGUGCAAAAGCCCUGCCCCCGGCACUUCAAGAUGGCGGCCGUGGGCCGCUGCACCUGGUGUGGCAAUCUGGAGCCCUGAGCAGCACACCUGUGCAAACUUGGGAGCGCCCUCCCCUCCCCUCCCCUCCCCUCCCCGCUGCUGAGAUCCAUCUAAAGCAGCCCCUCCCACAGCCCGUGGGGAGAGCGUGAACUCUGCUAUUAGGUUCAGAUUCAUUUAGAGUGGGUUUGUCCUUUUGGUGACCACAUUAUCAUUUGAUAAUGUCCCUGUCUAUACUUGGUUAUAGUCCUGUUGAGUUUUCAAAAUACAACAGGAACGGAAGCUGUGUGGCUGAUCUAGCCUUAUUUAUAUGGGGCACAUCAUUUUAAAAUGAGAACCUCACACAUAAAUGGUUUUUAGGACACAUGAAAUGUAGCUUCUUUUGCUUUUGAAAGUCUUAUAGAUUUGCAGGCAAACAACAACAAAAACUGUUUCAUUCCCUCACCUUAAAAGCUGACAUCUAAAAACAUUUUCUUUUCUCUCUAAUCAAAAACCUUGCCUCAGCUCCUUGUGUUUACUGAAGCCAGUGUAGCUCUGGCCUGUUUGUAAGGCUGGCACUUGCUGUCCUGCCUGUUUAUAAACAGCUACUUGCCUGUGGAUAAAGUUGCCAUUAACUGCUAGAUCAAAAUCCCACUGGACUAUGCUUACUAAAAUCUAAAGCCUUAAGCUGCCAGUCCAACCCCACUGGUCAAAAGACAAUCACAUAACUGUAAAAACCAGCCAUGUGUCACAAUAAAAUCCUAUAAACCCCCAAAGCAAAAAAAAAAAAAAAAAAUCAUGUGACUCAUAUUUAUUUCACCUAAGGCCUAAAACUACUUAUUCAAAGUCUCAUGUUUCUGGCUCCCCAAAUUCAACUGCUUGUCUGCCUCUCAAGAUACAUCUGCACUCCAAAUGUUAGGGGAAAUGAUGUUAUAUUUUGGAUUCCUUCAAACUCCAUCAUCCUCCCCGCCCAGUGCCAGUCAUCAUAACUGAUCACAGAGAAUGUGUAAUAACAUCAAUUUUCCCCAUGAUGCAGCCCCACACAGGUCCCAGCACUGUUUUUUUCCUACAUCAUUCAUCCCUCUGUAGUAAAGGUCCUGAAAUCCAGCAGGACCC